UUUUCAGCAGUCAGUCUAGAGGGCAUUAUAAAUUCAAAAAAAUUCAAAAAAAUACAAAACCUUGGAAACCUAGCAUUUUUUGUGCAAGAGAUCAUGUGUGCCAAAAUUGAGGUGAUUUGGAGGUGGUCGAAAAAAUGCCCGCAUUCCGGAGGGACCAUUUGGUCUACUUAAGCCAGUUUUUGAAAAAAGGUGAAUUUUUCCACCACCUCCAAAUCACCCCAAUUUUCAUAUACAUGGUGACACACAUGUGCCAAACAUGUCUAUGAAAGAAAUUUUUGGAAAAAAGUAUUUACAAUGCCCCCUAGACUGACUGCUGAAAACAUCGGUCUAUGCCUCAAGGGGGCAUUGUAAAAUAUUUUUGAAAAAAGGUGAAUUUUUCCACCACCUCCAAAUCACCCCAAUUUUCCUGUACAUGGUGACACACAUGUGCCAAACAUGUCUAUGAAAGAAAUUUUUGGAAAAAAGUAUUUUACAA
rnacentral:lncRNA from 1 species